CGGAUUGUAGUCUGNAACCCGACUACAUGAAGCUGGAAUCGCUAGUAAUCGCGAAUCAGAAUGUCGCGGUGAAUACGUUCCCGGGUCUUGUACACACCGCCCGUCACACCAUGGGAGUCGGAAAUGCCCGAAGUCAGUGACCUAACCGAAAGGGAGGAGCUGCCGAAGGUGGAGCCGGUAACUGGGGUGAAGUCGUAACAAGGUAAC
rnacentral:rRNA from 1 species